GCUCCCGGUGAUCCCUGUAAACCGGAUGCCCUCCCUUCUGCCUCUCAAACAGACGUAAUCUGUGGAUCGGAGAGAGGCAGGCGCUCAGUCGGUGUGGAGUUGGUGUCGGAUGGAGGUGAUGAGAGUGAAAAUAGACGCCGUGGCACGACUUGGAAGAAAUCGCAUCUGAAUCGCCGGGACAGUGAAUCCUGCAGUUUUACAAGCAGGUGGGGGGGAUGAAGGAAAAAAAAAGUCUUCACAUCGUGCCUCCUUUUUGUGGCUCCAUGGAGAUUGUUUCCAUCAGAUGCUGUUCUGAACUGAGGAUGGAGGACUUCAAGUUGCUCUGAUAGAUGAGGUGGUGGUGAUGCAGUAAAAUCAGCUCCUCUCAGUUUAUGUUCCAGCUCAAAUACACUGUCCUGUGUCAUUAUGUCCCCGUGCUGCGCGACCUGACCUCCGCGGUUUGACUGACGUCCCUGUUCCCCCACCACCCCCUGCAUGUCCGAGUGUCUGUCCCCCCCUCCCCUUCCUUCCCUUCCCUUCCCUUCCAUCCACACCCCCGCCUCGUCUGUCAGCUCGGCUCACGGUCACGGCCGCUUGUCCUGCCUGCCUCGGUGAACAUUCAACGCUGUCGGUGAGUUUGGUAUGGAUCACAUAAAAACCAUCGACCGUUGACUGUGCCCUGCGGCUCGCUCCGACGACGUCAGGAAUGAGGGGGUGGGGGGGCUGAACAAAAAGGGCAAGUGGGCGCAUGCAAAUCUGAAGACGCACACAAUCACACAUACACACACAUGCACAGAAGUGACACUCUGUUUCCACUGUACCCAAAGACCAAAGGUCACAAUCAACAUUCAUUGCUGUCGCUGGGUUGGACUGUGUAGAAAAGCUCACUGAACAAUGAGUGCAACUGUGGCCCAGAUCUGCCUGACCCGUGUCUCAGCCAAUCAGCCGACCGGAUGUGAAACACUCUGAUUUCUUUAUUUAUAUACUUCUUGUUUUUCACUUCUAUUUUCUCCUCUCUUCCUCCCUCCUCCCCGGUGCUGGGAGUCUUCAGGGGAAGAGAGAAAAAGAGAGAGGGAGAGAGAGAGAGAUAGAGACACAAAUAGACUUCUGGCUGCUUGCUUGUCCUCAUCCUCCUCUCCUCUCCUCUAAUUGGUGGUUAUGUGUGCAGCAAGGGGGAAGGAAGCGGAGUGAAUGUGUAAUCAUUUGGAGUCUCUUCUCCUUUAGAUGUUUCAUCCCUCUCUUUUUUGUUUGUCUAAUUAUAUACCCAGCUCAGUUAACUCUGUGUUAACUGCGCGUCUGUGCUGGCAAGAAUCAGCUACUGACAAAGAGAAGGAGGACAAGGGGAGUACAAAAAAAAAAAAAGGUGGAAAGAUUAUAGCACCAGAAAAAUUAUUAUCUAGUUUUUAGUGUGUUUUGUAUAAUAUUCUUCCUGGUGCCGCUGCAAAUGAGCCAGGAUAUAAGCAAUUUGCAAAUGCAGAAGGAAGAUUGUUUUCACCUUUCUGACUGAGGAUGUCUCAUUAUCUGUGUUUGAGUUUCAUGAGAGACUGUCUGGUUUCCUGCGUGCCUCUAUGUGUGUGUGUGUGUGUGUGUGUGUGUGUGUGCGCACACGUACACUAUGAUGGAGGACCUGCCUGCUGAUCUCAGAGUGCAAUAUGUUAUUUUCUUUCUAUACUAAAGCGUGCUCCCUCAUGGGAAAACACGGUCUAUAACCUUGUCUUCCUCCAGACAGUCUGGGACCGGCCACGCUGCUGCCAUUUCUCAUUGUACCCCUCUGUAACAACUCUCUGACACCGUGUCCUGUAUCAGUAAUUCAUGUCACGCACGACUCGCGCUCUUGAUAUAUAUGUAGGAAUGUGUUUUAUGUUCUCUUGAAGUGCUGACGUUUGCUGUAAGGAUUUUUUUUUAUGACUGACUCACUAAUUAAUUCAAUAAAGUUAAAUCAGAACCCAGG